ensembl:lncRNA
UUGCUUAAACAACAAAUAUUUUUUAUUAAGGUUCUAGAGGCUGAAAGUCUGAGAUCAGGGUGCCAGCGUGGUGGGGUUCUUGGUGAGAGCCCUCUUCCUGGUUAUGUCCUUACAUGGUCUUUCCUUGGUGGGGGUGGGGGCAGGGGAGAGAGAGAAAAGGAAUAUGAAUCUUGGGUCUCUUCUUUUUGAAAGGAUAUUAAUCCCCAUCGUGGGAACUCUACUCUCAUGAACGCAUCUAAAUCUAAUCACCUCCCAAAGUUCUCACUUCCAAAUACCAUCACACUGGGAAUUAGGGCUUCAAUUUAUGAAUUUGUGGGUGAGGCACAAACAUUCAGUCCAUAGCAGAUAUCACAAUCCUUCUUUCAGAGUCUGUCAGUUAUUGGUCACUGCACGACCGUUACUCAGUUUUUCAGUUUAUAAACAGCAAAGCAUGUAGUUGUAUAGCUUCCUUGUUUCCCAGUGAUAAACUAACAUGAUAUUUUACAAAAAUGGAUAAUUAAAAGGGAAUUGGACAAGAAAGAUGAAAGUACAGCGAAUAAAAAAAAAUGCUGAAAUGAAAUUAGACGUGAUUAGGGAAUUUGAAAAUGACAAAAGCAAAGCAAAGAUAGGAUGAGACCUCAGCCUACGCAAAACGCACCAUAGACACCACGGAGAAAAUGUUCAGUGAGUAGAAAAAAGAAGGUAAAGUUGCUUCAGGAUCUUUUAGUUUAAAUUGCACUAGAAAGAGAAUGCAAAUUAUGGCUGAUAUAAAGACUUGUUCCUGCUUUUGAUUGAAGACUGUAAUACAUUUAAAUUUAUUCCCAAUCAGUCUGGCUAGCAUUCGGGCGAAGUGUUGAAGUUGGUUGUCUUGCUGAAAGAAAAUGAUAAUUACAAAGAGACUAAAUAAAAACCUUUUUCAGCCAGUAAAUUCUGGUUUCAUCAUUUUAUGAAUUGAUUAAUGUUAAGAGAGUAAAGUGGCUGUGACAAAAGGGUGAAGAGGCCCACAGGAAGUGUUGCUGAUACACUUUGUAUUUAAGAAUUCCUGAGAAUAGUUCACAAGAUUGAAAAUGCAAAGACAAAAUGUUGGAAGCUAAUCUAAACUUAGAAUGCAGAAUGACAAUUUAUGAAGACAGAAGAUUAAUCAUAUGAGAAGAGGCAAACACAGUUCACACCACUAUUGGUAAGUUUUUUUGUUUUCUUUUUUUUUUACAAAGAAUAAAGACUGAUUCUCCAUGUUUCUCAUGUUUUAAAUUAUGGCAUACUAAAUAAAUUAGUUUUACAAUUUAAAAAAAUUCCUGAUAUAUGUCUACCUAGCAGUAAGAGAGUUUUUGAUGUUUCAACAAAAGUUCUUAAGUGUCACAGAACAAUUUAAUUUUUCUCUUUGAUUAUUAAGAUCACUUUGCACAAUUUCAACUUCCAUGGUCAUUUUUAUAGUCAUAUUCUACUAUGCCACGCUAGGACUGUCUGUAUGCUACUUUCUAAUUCCUUAACCAACUCACAUUCAGUUGCCUUUUACUCCUCUAGACCUUGCUCUUGCCAAUAUUAGUAUGACUUCUGAAAUCUUUAUUUCAAGCAAGUUAUUCUCAUUCAAUCAUUUCCUGUCCUUCCAGCUCACCACCUCUAGUACCCUGAAGACAGCCACUCUCCAAUCUUACUGAAAUCUCCAGUUCAUUGACUUUUUUCACCACUUACAGCCCUCAAAUUUCCUGCCUUGUCCAGCUUAGAUUUCAUGGCUCAUCAUUA